rnacentral:lncRNA from 1 species
UAUGUGUAUUAUUUUACAGAGCAUCUUUUUUUUCUCAAAUUGAAAGGAUAAUUCCAAUGUACUUGUGAUGAACUCUCUUUACAUGUAGAUAGAAGUCUUUGGUUUCUGACACCUCUCUGGGUCAAUCAGAUGACCAUGGCUUCCAUGUGGAAGAAAGAAUAAAAGACUGAAAUAUUGGAGGCAGGGGGACCAAUAAGAAGUGUCCACGCUGUUCUAGUCCCUCUUUACAGAGAACCACCAAGCAAGGAGUGCGAUGCUCCUCCUCCCAGUGUUCUCAUCCAGAAAAAGUCUGAUCUGAUGGAUAUGAAAAAAUUCUCCAACAAAGAAUAUGUUUGAGAAAGAGUUUGUUGCUCUCCCACCUUGUCUCCUAGGUGAAUGAGUCCUUCAGCAAACAUGUCUGAACUCCUAUCUACAUCAUAUUUUUAAGGUAAUUCUGAGUGGUCUUUUCAAAAUUUAAGUUGUGUACCUUCAUGUAUCCCCAUGCUAUUUCCUUUCCAGGCUUGUUUAAUUGAGCUCUCAUGGUUCUUCUAACUUUUCUUAUCUAUUCCCAUCUAACCUUACUUCAACCAGGCUGGAUUAGUCUUUAAGUAACUGUUGCUGUGGACAUAUUUAGGUUUUAUACCGCAACUUCUUCACUUUAUUCUCUUCUGUAUCCUCAUCCUUUCUCCUUCAGGUUGAU